AUUGAACGCUGGCGGCAGGCUUAACACAUGCAAGUCGAGCGGAGAGAGGUAGCUUGCUACUGAUCUUAGCGGCGGACGGGUGAGUAAUGCUUAGGAAUCUGCCUAUUAGUGGGGGACAACAUUUCGAAAGGAAUGCUAAUACCGCAUACGUCCUACGGGAGAAAGCAGGGGAUCUUCGGACCUUGCGCUAAUAGAUGAGCCUAAGUCGGAUUAGCUAGUUGGUGGGGUAAAGGCCUACCCAGGCGACGAUCUGUAGCGGGUCUGAGAGGAUGAUCCGCCACACUGGGACUGAGACACGGCCCAGACUCCUACGGGAGGCAGCAGUGGGGAAUAUUGGACAAUGGGCGGAAGCCUGAUCCAGCCAUGCCGCGUGUGUGAAGAAGGCCUUAUGGUUGUAAAGCACUUUAAGCGAGGAGGAGGCUACUUUAGUUAAUACCUAGAGAUAGUGGACGUUAUUCGCAGAAUAAGCACCGGCUAACUCUGUGCCAGCAGCCGCCGUAA
rnacentral:rRNA from 1 species